UACGAAGGGGGCUAGCGUUGCUCGGAAUCACUGGGCGUAAAGCGCACGUAGGCGGAUCGUUAAGUCAGGGGUGAAAUCCUGGAGCUCAACUCCAGAACUGCCUUUGAUACUGGCGAUCUUGAGUUCGAGAGAGGUGAGUGGAACUGCGAGUGUAGAGGUGAAAUUCGUAGAUAUUCGCAAGAACACCAGUGGCGAAGGCGGCUCACUGGCGCGAUACUGACGCUGAGGUGCGAAAGCGUGGGGAGCAAACAGG
rnacentral:rRNA from 1 species